GGUUGAUCCUGCCAGUAACAUAUGCUUGUCUCAAAGAUUAAGCCAUGCAUGUCUAAGUAUAAACAAAUUUAUACUGUGAAACUGCGUACAGCUCAUUAAAUCAGUCAUUAUUUAUUUGAUGGUUUCUUACUCACAUGGAUACCCGUAGUAAUUCUAGAGCUAAUACAUGCAAAAAAUCCCGACUCACGAAGGGAUGUAUUUAUUAGAUAAAAAACCAAUGCACCCUCUGGGUGGUUUUGUGGUGACUCAUAAUAACUGAUCGAAUCGCAUAGCUUCAUGCUGGCGAUAGUUCA
rnacentral:rRNA from 1 species